UGAGAUUUAUUAUAAGGAAAUGACUCAUACAGUUAUGGAGGCUGCAAAGUCCUGUGAUCUGUUAUCCGCAGGCUGGAGACCCAGGAAAGCCAGUAAUACAGAUUUCAGCUUCAGUCCAAAGGCCUGAGAACCAGAAGCACUGAUGGUGUAAGUCCCAGUCUAAGGGCCAGAGAAGACCAACAUCUCAGCUCAAGCCAUUAGGCAGCCCCAGCAAACUAAUAUAGCCCCAUUUAAUCCUCCCACUGACCCUGCAAAGUCAAUUCAUUAGCUCAAUUUUAUAGGUAAGAAAACUGAGACCUUGCCUGCGCCCACCUGGAGCCAGCGGUUCUCCAAGCACCCAGCAUCCAGCGAGACAUGUCGCGCACCGACAGAGGGGACAUGGGCAGAGCAAUGGUGACCAGGCUCGGGCUGGGGCUGCUGCUGCUGGGACUGCUCCUACCCACACAGAUUUAUUCCAAUCAAACAACUGUUGUAACAGUUUCAAGUAAUUCCUCCAAGAGUACUUCAACGGCCCCAAAUCCAGCUAGUGCCACCACCAAGGCGGUUGGUGGUGCCCUGCAGUCAACAGCCAGUCUCUUCGUGGUCUCACUAUCUCUUCUACAUCUCUACUGUCAAAAGACUCAGGCCAAGAAACAUCUAAACUUCCCCAUCUUCUACACCCAAUCCACAUGGCGUCUGGAAGUCCAAUGUGGCAAGGAAAAACAGGUCUUUGUCGAAUCUACUAAUUCCACACCUUUUAUUGACACAGAAAAUGUUGAGAAUCCCAAAUUUGAUUGGUUUACAGAACAUGUGAGAGGUUUGACUAGAUGAUGGAUGCCAAUAUUAAAUCUGCUGGAGUUUCAUAUGCAAGAUGAAGGAGAGGCAACAUCCAAAAUAGCUAAGACAUGAUUUCCUUGAAUGUGGCUUAAGAAAUAUGGACACUUAAUACUAUCUUGAAAAUAAGAAUAGAAAUAAAGGAUGUGAUUGUGGAAUGGAA